rfam:Morus notabilis contig20559, whole genome shotgun sequence.
GUGGAGGUAGAAGGCCUACGGGUCGUGAACUUCUUUUCCCGGAGAAGAAGCAAUGACGGUAUCUGGGGAAUAAGCAUCGGCUAACUCUGUGCCAGCAGCCGCGGUAAUACAGAGGAUGC